UUUUGGUUCUAUUUUGUUGGUUUCUAGGAUUAAAAUAAUGAUUAAUAGGGACAAUUGGGGGCAUUCGUAUCAACACGUCAGAGGUGGAAUUCUUGGAUUGUGUUGCGACGAACUACUGCGAAAGCAUUUGCCAAGGAUGUUUUCAUUGAUCAAGAACGAAAGUAAGGGGAUCGAAGAUGAUUAGAUACCGUCGUAGUCUUUACCACAAACUAUGCCAACUAGAGAUGGGACAUCGUCUUCUUACGACUUGUUCCGCACCUUAUGAGAUAUCAAAGUCUUUGGGUUCCGGGGGGAGUAUGGUCGCAAGACUGGAACUUAAAGGAAUUGACGGAAGGGCACCACCAGGAGUGGAGCCUGCGGCUUAAUUUGACUCAACACGGGGAAACUCACCAGGUCCAGACAUAAUAAGGAUUGACAGAUUGAUAGCUCUUUCUUGAUUUUAUGGGUGGUGGUGCAUGGCCGUUCUUAGUUCGUGGAGUGAUUUGUCUGCUUAAUUGCGUUAACGAACGAGACCUUAACCUGCUAAAUAGAAUCGUAUAUCUUCGGAUAAACGACUUUCUUCUUAGAGGGACUUUGUGCGUUUCAGCAUGAGGAAGUUUGAGGCUAAAACAGGUCUGUGAUGCCCUUAGAUGUUCUGGGCUGCACGCGCGCUACACUGAUGCGUUCAACGAGUGUACAACCUUGCCCGAUAGGGUUGGGUAACCUUUUGAACACGCAUCGUGAUGGGGAUAGAUUAUUGCAAUUA
rnacentral:rRNA from 1 species